rnacentral:rRNA from 1 species
UACGUAGGGGGCUAGCGUUGUUCGGAAUUACUGGGCGUAAAGGGCGCGUAGGCGGCUCGGCAAGUUGGAUGUGAAAGCCCAGGGCUCAACCCUGGAAUUGCAUUCAAGACUGCCUUGCUUGAAUUCGGUAGAGGUUGGUGGAAUUCCCAGUGUAGAGGUGAAAUUCGUAGAGAUUGGGAAGAACACCGGUGGCGAAGGCGGCCAACUGGACCGACAUUGACGCUGAGGCGCGAAAGCGUGGGGAUCAAACAGG